AUUUUUGUACAAAUUUUUAGGCCUUCGAUUUGUCAACUUGUAAGUUCAUCUCAUAUGUCUAAAUGAUUCAUAUGUUGAAUCACCAAUAAUAGGCCUGUAUCAUGUUGAAUUUCAGGUGAAAGAUGAACUUUAGCCACAGUCUUCGCAGCUGGCUUCGCCUUCACAACCGGCUUUCGCAGACGGUUUAGCUUUCACAGCUGGUUUCACUUUCGCAAACGGCUCAAGCCCCUUCGACAACUAAUAUACAACAUAUGGAGUUCUAAUGGCAAACAAAUGCAAACAAAAUCAAAGUGUACAAAGAGAAGUCAAUAAUUAUGAGAAAAAGUGUUGUUCGCGUGUUAAGGAAAUGUGCAUGUCUCAAAAAAUUAUGCACACAGCCGACCCAAAAAAUUUUGCUAGAAUUCGCGAAGAAGUUAAGAGAUG